rnacentral:lncRNA from 1 species
AACUUGAAUGCAGAUUUACCAAAUUAACCUUUUUCUGUUUUUACCGAAUUGAGUUGCUCUCCAUUUUCGUUUUGUUUUGUUCUGUUUUUAUCUUCUAAACUUUCCAGUGUUUAUGAACCUUCUUACAGAGCAAACAUGGUAGCUAAUAAGAGAUUAUCUAUUUCCUUGGCCAAUUAUUAGUGCAUAUGAAGUAUGGUUUUUAGCUGGAACACACCAAUGCAUGCAGUAGUUUGGGUUAGUUGAUAUUUCAUGUUUUACAGCUUGAAAUGUAAUCAUUACUUCCUGUUACAGCUUGAAGUCGCAGCAUAUAGAAUGAGACUAAGGCUGUUCUUUUGUUUUCUUCGUUUCCAAAUUAUGAUGUUUUUAUCCUAACCCUUUCAAUAAUCAUUGCUAAUUUGGGGGUUAAUGGAUAAUUAUGUGGCAGCCAUUGGAUUGGAGGUCAUUAUGUGAUGCCGGUGUUGAAUUUUUGUGUGUG